rnacentral:rRNA from 1 species
USSCCYCCCGGCCSCGGAUUGGACAACAUUCAAACCCUUUGCAGUUGCAAUCAGCGUCUGAAAAAACAUAAUAGUUACAACUUUCAACAACGGAUCUCUUGGUUCUGGCAUCGAUGAAGAACGCAGCGAAAUGCGAUAAGUAGUGUGAAUUGCAGAAUUCAGUGAAUCAUCGAAUCUUUGAACGCACAUUGCGCCCCUUGGUAUUCCAUGGGGCAUGCCUGUUCGAGCGUCAUUUGUACCUUCAAGCUCUGCUUGGUGUUGGGUGUUUUGUCUCGCCUCUGCGUGUAGACUCGCCUUAAAACAAUUGGCAGCCGGCGUAUUGAUUUCGGAGCGCAGUACAUCUCGCGCUUUGCACUCAUAACGGCGACGUCCAAAAGUACAUUUUUACACUCUUGACCUCGGAUCAGGUAGGGAUACCCGCUGAACUUAAGCAUAUCAAUAAGCGGAGGAA